CCUACGUGAGGCAGCAGUGAGGAAUAUUGGUCAAUGGGCGUAAGCCUGAACCAGCCAAGUCGCGUGAGGGAUGAAGGUUCUAUGGAUCGUAAACCUCUUUUAUAAGGGACUAAAGUGCGGGACGUGUCCCGUUUUGUAUGUACCUUCUGAAUAAGGAUCGGCUAACUCCGUGCCAGCAGCCGCGGUAAUACGGAGGCUCCGAGCGUUCUCCGGAUUUUUUGUGUUUAAGGGGUGCGUAGGCGGCCUUUUAAGUCAGCGGGGAAAGUCUGUGGCUCAACCAUAGAAUUGCCGUUGAAACUGGGAGGCGGGAGUAUGUUUGAGGCAGGCGGAAUGCGUGGGGUAGCGGUGAAAUGCUUAGAUAUCACGCAGAACCCCGAUUGCGAAGGCAGCCUGCCAAGCCAUGACUGACGCUGAUGCACGAAAGCGUGGGGAUCAAACAGGAUUAGAUACCCGGGUAGUC
rnacentral:rRNA from 1 species